UUGGAGGGCAAGUCUGGUGCCAGCAGCCGCGGUAAUUCCAGCUCCAAUAGCGUAUAUUAAAGUUGUUGCAGUUAAAAAGCUCGUAGUUGAAUUUCGGGAUUGACGUGAUGGUCAUGCCUUAAGGGGUAUGAACUGUCACUGUUGAUUUCUCACCUUCUGGAGAAACUUGAUGUCCUUUAUUGGGUGUCUUGCGGAUCCAGGACCUUUACCUUGAAAAAAUUAGAGUGUUUAAAGCAGGCGUUUUUGCUCGAAUACAUUAGCAUGGAAUAAUAGAAUAGGACGGCAUGGUUCUAUUUUGUUGGUUUCUAGGAUCACCGUAAUGAUUAAUAGGGAUAGUUGGGGGCAUUAGUAUUCAAUUGUCAGAGUUGAAAUUCUUGGAUUUAUUGAAGACUAACUACUGCGAAAGCAUUUGCCAAGGAUGUUUUCAUUAAUCAAGAACGAAAGUUAGGGGAUCGAAGACGAUCAGAUACCGUCGUAGUCUUAACCAUAAACUAUGCCGACUAGGAAUCAGACGAUGUUAAUUUUUUAAUGACUCGUUUGGCACCUUACGGGAAACCAAAGUGUUUGGGUUC
rnacentral:rRNA from 1 species